AUUGAACGCUGGCGGCAUGCCUUACACAUGCAAGUCGAACGGCAGCACGGACUUCGGUCUGGUGGCGAGUGGCGAACGGGUGAGUAAUACAUCGGAACGUGCCCAGUAAUGGGGGAUAGCUCGGCGAAAGCCGGAUUAAUACCGCAUACGCCCUGAGGGGGAAAGUGGGGGACCGCAAGGCCUCACGUUAUUGGAGCGGCCGAUGGCUGAUUAGCUAGUUGGUGAGGGAAAGGCGCACCAAGGGGACGAUCAGUAGCUGGUCUGAGAGGACGAUCAGCCACACGGGGGCCGAGACACGGCCCAGACUCCUACGGGAGGCAGCAGUGAGGAAUUUUGGACNNUGGGCGCAAGCCUGNUCCAGCAAUGCCGCGUGUGCGAAGAAGGCCUUCGGGUUGUAAAGCACUUUUGUCAGGAAAGAAAGCCAUUGGGUUAAUACCCUGNUGGGAUGACGGUACCUGAAGAAUAAGCACCGGCUAACUACGUGCCAGCCGCCGCAGUAA
rnacentral:rRNA from 1 species